rnacentral:miRNA from 1 species
UGACAGCGCCCUGCCUGGCUC